rnacentral:sRNA from 1 species
GUGAGGAGCUCAUUCACCUUCUGAGUUUUGUAGUGCAAACAUCUAAAAUUGAACAAAAUUCGUUGUGCUUCAAAAUUUGAAAUGUAAAAAUGGACGUCGAUUUGGAAACAAUUGCGGGACCUUCGAUCAGAUUUGGUUAUAUAUAAAAGUGUCGGUAGAAGGAGAAAAGUAUCAGAGUUGAAAGUUUUGGACAUGUAGUUUGUUUUUUCUUUUUGUUGUUUUAUUUGGUUACCAAGAACACGUGAUAAAACAUAAACACAAACACAAAGACACGGUUAAAGAGAUUUUUUGCUGGCCUUGCAAGUUUUAACAUUGCUGGAAAAAUUUCUUUAUUGAAAAUUCAAAUGGGAUUUACCUUUAACAACGCCAAGAUUAGAGGCCAGGAGGCUGCCGAUAUAAAUAUAUUUAAUAGUUUUUGUACAACGCUGACCCAAAAGUAUUGGAUUAACUUUCAAAUUUCGUUUCAUACACAAGAAAUUGGAGCAUGGUCCGAGCCCCAACUUGUGUGUGCUUCAUUUCCAAUUAGAAUGCAAAAACACAGGACUUUAAACAAAUGCUUAAAUCGAAUUGUUGCGAUAGAUGACAUUCCGAUCAAUAUAUAUCUUCGUGUGUAUAUAUAUAUAUAUAUACAAUUCCAAUUGACAAAGCAGGAGAGCAAGGUCCGAGGAGAAAAUCCCUUGUGUUUGCUCUCGGUUAAUAUAUAUAUCCGUUACAUAUUUUAUAUAUAUAUUUAUAUAUAUAUAACAUAUCACGUUGUUCUUCAUUGGUUACAACAAUAGCAACAGACUCUCUGCAACUUGUACAUAAAUACAUAAUCGAACGAGAGAACGACAACAGACAGAAACAAUUAUAUAAAGAAUUAGGAAGCCAGGAAAUACGCACACAACACAGACAACAUACAACACCACACACACACUAGAAACAAACCCCCAAAAUCACCCACCCCUCCCCCAAGAAUCACAAGAUCAGACAUCCCCCAGCCCCUACCCCCCUUAAAAAUCGAACGCAAUGGGGAUACUUGUUGAUAUUGGGGACAAUACAAGCGAAAAAUAUUUCAAAUUGAAUAAAAUUUUUAAAAAUUUAUAAACAUUUUCUUAAUCGUUGGUUGGGGGCACAGACUCGGCAACUGAUGCGCACAGUUGACGCGAAUUAUAAAUAUUUAUAAUAAUUUAUCUCCUGACGUCGUCGCAAAUUUUCAGUUCACAUCGCAGCAGCUGCAGCACAAAGCUACUCACGCCUGUGGAUUCGACUGCCCCCAGUAGUUCGAGAGUAGUUCGUCUUCCAGCAUCAAAUUUAUAUAUUUGUUAUAAAUAAUUAAAAUAAAUGAAAAAACAUGAGCUUAUGUAA